rnacentral:lncRNA from 1 species
AGUUUUACUUCAAGUUUUUAUUCUCCCCACUGCUGCCUGUUUUUGUCUUAUUGCAAUAACUAGGACCUUCAUUAACACUGUUGAGUACAAGUUGUAAGGGUGGGCCUUCACUCUUGGUUACUGAUCUGAGGGGAAAAGCAUUCAAUGUAUGUUCAUUAAGUGUGAGGUUAGCUCUAGGUUUUUGUGAAAGUUCCCUUCUAUUCCUAGUUAGCUAAAAGUGUUCUUAUAAUUGGGUGAUGGAUUUUGAAAAAUGUUAUUUCUGCAUCUAUGGAAAUGAUCUUAUGUUUUUUUUCUUCAUUAUUCUGUUAAUGUGGUUAUAGUGAUAAAUUUGUGGGUGUUAAACCAAUCUUACAUUUUUGUGACAUACCCUUCUUGGUCACUGUAUAUUAUUACUGAUAUAUAUUGCUGCAAUCAAUGCAUUAAGUUUUCAAAGAUUUUUAUGUCUAUGUUCAUGGAAAAUAUUGGUAGGCAAAUUUUUUUCUGGUAAUUUCUUUGUUAGGUUUUAGUAUCAGAGUUAUGGUGGCCUCCAUUAUGGCUAUUUAUUUGUGCCAAAAAAUUGCUGUUAGAAGUUGUUUUUAAAAAUAGAAUCUUUAAGUGGUACAUUAAAUCCAGCUGGCUUCAAACGGUACAGGGUGGUGGUGUUGGGGGGAGGGUCACAGAUGGCCAGAUCUCUAGGGAAUUCUAUGACCUCAGUGAUGACUGACUAAAAUUCCUGGACUUUUCCUGGACUUUUCUUGUGAGAGGAAUUCUACAGUUGAUAAUUAUUGAUAAUUAUCAAUUCUUGUUCCCUGAUAGUUAUUGUUAUUACUUUUUAUUGAGGUAAAAUUCACAUAAGAUAAAGUUAUUUUGAAGUGUGCAAUUCAGUGACUUUGAG